GACCAUAUCAUGAUUAAACACCGGUUCCCGUAGGAUCACCGAAGUUAAGCAACAUCGAAUCUGGUCAGUAUCUAGAUGGCUGACUGCUUGGGAAUAGCAGCUGUUGU